AGCAGAUGCAGCAUGAGGCAAGCAGACACAAGCUACCUCUACAGGUUCCCAGAACAUGCACUUGUCAAUCAGUAAUAUUGUCUCAGCGAGUAAAGCUUUGAAUAAGGCACUAACUGUAGCAUUCCUGGGGAAGAAUAAUUAAACAACAGUCUUCAUGGGGUGCCAGUCUGUACUACAGUUCAUCCAGCAUUUGAAGAACUGCUCACAGAAAACAUUCCUUAGAAUUUGCAGGGCUCCAUUUGCUUAGUGAAGGAAGCCAAAUAAGACCUUCCUUCCCUGCUGAAAUCAAAGCAGCAUUCCCAGAAGCUGCAAUGUUUGCAAGGAGAGAGGGGAAACAAGUAGUGCCAGACUGCUUGAAGCCAAUGCUUGACCUGAUACAGAGUGCCAUCUUGCAGUAACGAAGGAGGCAUCAGAAGAAGGUUCAAGAAAUUUCUUACAAAGGAACUUUCUUCCUUUCCCACAGCAAGGUCAAGCUGGCCCUUCUUCCCAUCCAGGCUGCCUGCAGAGGUGAAGAUCUGACCACUUCCCACCACAACACUCAGGAAAGAGAUGUGGCUAUCUGCAUCAUACUUAUACACAUAAGUAUGCACAGAAAAUAGAAAAAAAAAAAAACAGAAUUGGUAUAAUGUUUCAGGCACAUCUGUACCCUUACUUGGAAUAUUAAAUUUGAUUCAGUUCAUCUUUAUAAAGAAAUAAAAGAGUGGGCUUCUUAGAAUGGAAUUUUCAUUGCUCUGGUGUUUCCUGGUACAGAGAAUUAACAAAGGAUGUAAAUUAUUUUAUUGGAUGUGUUUUGAACCUCCUCUUUAGUGUAUAGGGCAAUACCCAAUCGACCUUUCUGAUUUGUAUGGCUAGAACUUCACUCCUAGGAAGGACAGGUGCUUGUUAAUUUUUGUUUUGUUGGCCAACAAUUUUCAUGUUAUGAUGCUUCUCUUCCAUAAACAAGCAUAAAA
ensembl:lncRNA